rfam:Pseudogymnoascus sp. 24MN13 contig_951, whole genome shotgun sequence.
GGUUGUAUAGUGUAGUUGGUUAUCACAUCGGAUUCUGAUCACGAUUCAUUCGCAAUCAUUCCGGGGACCUGAGUUCGAAUCUCGGUACGACCU